UACGAAGGGGGCUAGCGUUGCUCGGAAUCACUGGGCGUAAAGGGUGCGUAGGCGGGUUUUAAGUCAGGGGUGAAAUCCUGGAGCUCAACUCCAGAACUGCCUUUGAUACUGAAGAUCUUGAGUCCGGAGAGGUGAGUGGAACUGCGAGUGUAGAGGUGAAAUUCGUAGAUAUUCGCAAGAACACCAGUGGCGAAGGCGGCUCACUGGCCCGGUACUGACGCUGAGGCACGAAAGCGUGGGAGCAACAGG
rnacentral:rRNA from 1 species